rnacentral:rRNA from 1 species
UACAGAGGUCCCAAGCGUUGUUCGGAUUCACUGGGCGUAAAGGGUGCGUAGGUGGUGAGGUAAGUCGGAUGUGAAAGCUCGGAGCUCAACUCCGAAAUGGCAUUGGAAACUACCUUGCUCGAGGGUUGGAGGGGGGACUGGAAUACUUGGUGUAGCAGUGAAAUGCGUAGAUAUCAAGUGGAACACCAGUGGCGAAGGCGAGUCCCUGGACAACUCCUGACACUGAGGCACGAAAGCUAGGGGAGCGAACGGG